GACAGCAGCAGCCACGGGAAUACGAAGGGUGCAAGCGUUAAUCGGAAUUACUGGGCGUAAAGCGCACGUAGGCGGCUUGGUAAGUUAGAGGUGAAAGCCUGGAGCUCAACUCCAGAAUUGCCUUUAAGACUGCCGAGCUAGCAGGUGAGAGAGGUAAGUGGAAUUCCGAGUGUAGAGGUGAAAUUCGUAGAUAUUCGGAAGAACACCAGUGGCGAAGGCGGCUUACUGGCUCAUACUGGACGCUGAGGUGCGAAAGCGUGGGGAGCAAACAGGAUUAGAUACCCCCGUAGUCCCUGUCUCUUAUAC
rnacentral:rRNA from 1 species